UAGGGAAUCUUGCGCAAUGGGCGAAAGCCUGACGCAGCCAUGCCGCGUGAAUGAUGAAGGUCUUAGGAUUGUAAAAUUCUUUCACCGGGGACGAUAAUGACGGUACCCGGAGAAGAAGCCCCGGCUAACUUCGUGCCAGCAGCCGCGGUAAUACGAAGGGGGCUAGCGUUGCCCGGAAUUACUGGGCGUAAAGGGAGCGUAGGCGGAUAGUUUAGUCAGAGGUGAAAGCCCAGGGCUCAACCUUGGAAUUGCCUUUGAUACUGGCUAUCUUGAGUAUGGAAGAGGUAUGUGGAACUCCGAGUGUAGAGGUGAAAUUCGUAGAUAUUCGGAAGAACACCAGUGGCGAAGGCGACAUACUGGUCCAUUACUGACGCUGAGGCUCGAAAGCGUGGGGAGCAAACA
rnacentral:rRNA from 1 species